UUACUGUGAAAAAAUUAGAGUGUUCAAAGCGGGCCUACGCUUGAAUAUAUUAGCAUGGAAUAACACCAUAGGACUCCUGUCCUAUUCUGUUGGUCUUCGGGAUGGGAGUAAUGAUUAAGAGGAACAGUUGGGGGCAUUCGUAUUUCAUUGUCAGAGGUGAAAUUCUUGGAUUUAUGAAAGACGAACUUCUGCGAAAGCAUUUGCCAAGGAUGUUUUCAUUAAUCAAGAACGAAAGUUGGGGGCUCGAAGAUGAUUAGAUACCAUCCUAGUCUCAACCAUAAACGAUGCCGACUAGGGAUUGGCGGAUGUUAAUUUGAUGACUUCGCCAGCACCUUAUGAGAAAUCAAAGUCUUUGGGUUCCGGGGGGAGUAUGGUCGCAAGGCUGAAACUUAAAGGAAUUGACGGAAGGGCACCACCAGGAGUGGAGCCUGCGGCUUAAUUUGACUCAACACGGGGAAACUUACCAGGUCCAGACAUAGUAAGGAUUGACAGAUUGAGAGCUCUUUCUUGAUUCUAUGGGUGGUGGGGCAUGGCCGUUCUUAGUUGGUGGAGUGAUUUGUCUGGCUAAUCCCGUUAACGAACGAGACCUCA
rnacentral:rRNA from 1 species